rnacentral:lncRNA from 1 species
GGUCACUUAGAAAUUAGAGGUAGGUGAGUGAUGAUAGGUAAACCACCUUAGGUGGCAGACCAUCUUAUACACCUUCCAACAUUUUAAAAAUAUAUAAAAUACUCUUAAAAAGUGCCAGCUCAAAAAAAAUAAAAAUUGCAGAUUUCAUUUCUCUCCCAUUUCUCUCUAUCUCACCACCAUAACCUCCACGGCUCCACCCUCCUUAACCACCACCUGCGUCACCGGCCACCACCAUAACCCCGCCUUCAUUUGAAUACGACCCAGUCUCCAAAACAACCUUGCUAUGCUGAUAUUUGUAAGUAUGAUCCUCCUUUUGUGUUGAAUCAACCCAAAGAUUUUUAUAUUCUAACACAAAAAUAACUUGUAGAUUUUGUAGCAAAUCCAAACUCCAGUGUAUGUCCUAAGCUACAAUCAUGAGCAGACAGUCCUUUGGAUAAUUUUCCCUGUGAUGAAGAAUGUGCUAUAAUCGUAAAAAUAACAGAAUUAUUAAAAUUAAUUGAAAUUGAAAUUUGGAAGUGGAUUUGGAUUUACAGAGUUUGAAUUGAAAAUCCAUGAUUUGUCUAUGGAAGAGAUUGAGGUGAAUUGUUGAAGUAAGUUAGAGUGAAGUUAAAAUUGUUAUUCAGUUUCUUCAUGGAUUCAUAGUGGAAAUUCUUUGGUUUUUGAUUGUCCAUUGAUGAAGAUUUUGUGCUGAAGAUUAUAGUUGAAUUAAGUAAGUUAGAUUGAAAUUAAGUCAAUCAGAAUUAUUGUAUGCUAUAAGCUUCUCAUGAUUACUUGAUGGUGGUGGUUGGUGACAGAGGUGGUGGCCGUUGACGGAAGUGGUGGUGGCCGACGAGAAAGAAAGAGGGAGUGAUGGUGGUUAAGGAAUGUGGAGGUUUUGGUGGUGAGAUAGAGAGAACAGAGAAAGAUGUUUGGAGAUGAAGAAAGAGUGGUUGUGAGAUGAAAUUCCUAAAAUAUCCCUUGCCACAUCAGCAGUGGUACAAAGGGGUGUACGAGUGGUCUAUGUAUCUUUUUCCAUUAAAUAUAGUAAACUUUAGUUUUAAUUUCUCUACCCACUUUUCCAUGCAAAAUACAAACAUCGUACUUUUAGUGCCUAUUUUAGGGUCUAAAAAUAUAUAGUUUUGUAUUUGUAAGGACUAAAUAAUGAGUUCAAUGAUUAAAAAUAAAAUUC